UAACCUGCCUAUUAGAGGGGAUAACUAUUGGAAACGAUAGCUAAUACCGCAUAACAGUAUGUAACACAUGUUAGAUGCUUGAAAGAUGCAAUUGCAUCGCUAGUAGAUGGACCUGCGUUGUAUUAGCUAGUAGGUAGGGUAAUGGCCUACCUAGGCGACGAUACAUAGCCGACCUGAGAGGGUGAUCGGCCACACUGGGACUGAGACACGGCCCAG
rnacentral:rRNA from 1 species